rnacentral:rRNA from 1 species
UGGGGAAUUUUGCAUAAUGGGGGAAACCCUGAUGCAGCGACGCCGCGUGAUUUAGAAGGCCUUCGGGUUGUAAAAAUCUUUUCUAUGGGAAGAAAAUGACAGUACCAUAGGAAUAAGGACCGGCUAAUUACGUGCCAGCAGCCGCGGUAAUACGUAAGGUCCGAGCGUUGUCCGGAAUCAUUGGGCGUAAAGGGUACGUAGGCGGGUAAGCAAGUUAGAAGUGAAAUCCUGUAGCUCAACUACAGUAAGCUUUUAAAACUGCUCAUCUUGAGAUAUGGAAGGGAAAGUGGAAUUCCUAGUGUAGCGGUGAAAUGCGCAGAUAUUAGGAGGAAUACCGGUGGCGAAGGCGACUUUCUGGCCAUAAUCUGACGCUGAGGUACGAAAGCGUGGGUAGCAAACAGG